AGCAUUUUUGUAUGUUUUUGUUUAACUUGUGGACAAAGACAAAUAGCUGCAAAAAAUAAUUCUCUUUUAUAACCCAGAACUCAUUGUUCAAUUUAAGUUUUGAUACAUAUCAGCACAGAUACU
ensembl:snoRNA